AACGGACCGGGGGUUGUGGUGACUGAAGGGCCCAGGCAGGACUCUGGAAGCACUGGUAACAGUUUGUCACUUGAUCUGGAUGAACACCAGCGUGUUCCGUUUUGGAAAUCCUUUCAGCUGUACUUACCCUAAGUUUUCAAAAGCCUCUUGGUUUCCAGUAGGUUGUACCUGCCUUUGCGGAUCUCACAGAAUCCGCCCAUUUGUUCAGUUUCUAGGAUCAGGGAACACUUGCCUUCCAUUUUUAUUAUUUCAGGCCUCACACAUGCAAAUCUAACUGGCCAGGACUGACCCAGAAGGAGGGAGAGCUCUGGUCCAUGGGUCUCCCCUCCCCAACUGGCAGGCUUUGGUCAACAGCGCUCAGAAUGAAAGGAAGGUGGUGGUGCUGGCUUUCAAGUCUCCUCCAAAUGCAACUGACCCAGGUCUGCCUGUCCUCCAUUAGCUUUUGCUCGUUGGAGAGGGAUAACACACCGCUAAGAAAAAGACUUGUUCUGAGAGUGAGGACUGCCCCCGGAUUUUGUAACCAGUUGCAACCACCUGAAAGCAGCUCUGGGGAAGAGGUCAUUGAAGAGUCUUUCCAGGCCAAGUGGACAGUGUUGAUAAAGUCUAUAGUAGUCUACAGUGAUUUCCUAGGCCUUCACAUUCACCCACUGGCUCACCCAAAGCAACUUCCAGUCCUGCAAGCUCCAUUCAUGAUUUCCACUUUUCCAAAUUUGGGUAAACUGGACUCCGUGCACGUCACCUGUGGGUUAAGAUGAAGAGAUGUUGUAACAGAUGACUUUAAAACAUGCUCUGCCUGUCAUCUUCCAGCUGGAGUUCGGGAGAUUUAAGCUGAAGCGUCAAACAAACUUGGUACUUUGGAAACAUAUUCAAGCCAAUUCGUUUAGACGCGGUGUGCUCAAGUUUUGGGGGCUCUAUGGCAAAAUCAUUUAAUUUUUGCUACUGAUCAGAUGUGUAACAUAAACCAAAUUUAAUCAGAAAA
ensembl:lncRNA novel transcript, antisense to NCK2